rnacentral:rRNA from 1 species
GACGAACGCUGGCGGCGUGCUUAACACAUGCAAGUCGAACGGAAAGGCCCUACUUUUGUGGGGUGCUCGAGUGGCGAACGGGUGAGUAACACGUGAGUAACCUGCCCUUGACUUUGGGAUAACUUCAGGAAACUGGGGCUAAUACCGGAUAGGAGCUCCUGCUGCAUGGUGGGGGUUGGAAAGUUUCGGCGGUUGGGGAUGGACUCGCGGCUUAUCAGCUUGUUGGUGGGGUAGUGGCUUACCAAGGCUUUGACGGGUAGCCGGCCUGAGAGGGUGACCGGCGACAUGGGGACUGAGAGACGGCCCAGAAUCCUACGGGAGGCAGCGGUGGGGAAUAUUGCACAAUGGGCGGAAGCCUGAUGCAGCAGCGCCGCGUGCGGGAUGACGGCCUUCUGGUUGUAAACCGCUUUCGCCUGUGACGAGGCGUGAGUGACGGUAAUGGGUAAAGAAGCACCGGCUAACUACGUG